AUACGGAGGGUGCGAGCGUUGUUCGGAAUUAUUGGGCGUAAAGAGCAUGUAGGCGGUCUGUUAAGUCUGGUGUGAAAGCCCGGGGCUCAACCCCGGAAGUGCAUUGGAUACUGGCAGACUUGAGUAUGGGAGAGGAAAGCGGAAUUCCGAGAGUAGGAGUGAAAUCCGUAGAUAUUCGGAGGAACACCAGUGGCGAAGGCGGCUUUCUGGACCAAUACUGACGCUGAGAUGCGAAAGCGUGCGGAGCAAACAGGAUUAGAAACCCUUGUAGUCC
rnacentral:rRNA from 1 species